CGAGAUGUGGCUCAGUUUGGUAGAGCGCUGCGUUCGGGACGCAGAGGUCGCAGGUUCAAAUCCUGUCAUCUCGACCA
rnacentral:tRNA from 1 species